GCUUGUUGGUGCAUUACAUUAGAAUGACACUAGCCCAAGUUCUGGAAUGUAGGCCUAUGCCUAAUUAGCUAGAAAUGGUCAAGCUAAGUCCUACUUACUGAUGCCAUUGGUUUUCAGUUUCAGAUUCUCUCCACAUGUUGCUUUUGUAUCGUUGCUUGGACUAAUGUGAACUGUGUAAUCAGUCGAAGGCUUUAGGUAUUGUAGAAGAUGGGUUGGGUUUGUGCCACUCAGGGCCACGGUCACUUUGUUCGAUUCAACGGUACUUCGUUCAGUGAGCUCGAUGCUGUAGUUGCCCUCAGUGCCGUUUUCAAAGGUGAACAGAAAGCCAGUCUUAUCUGCUACACCACUGUAGUUACCUGCAGAUCGAGAAGAGACAUAAAUGAUAUUUAGCAUCUUUCAGACCCCCUGUAGUUGGAAUAACUAUUGCGUAACGACACUGAGACUUACACAGGGGGGGUGGAGGACCUGGGGAAAGGAAAACAAGGGUGAGGAAACAGACACUAAGUAAUGGCCCACAUGCCGGCCCACACUAAGUGGGCCGGCAUGUGGACCCUGCAGCCGCUAUCGCAGACAACAUCGAUUCAACACAAUCAAUUUGUUCCAAAUAAUUCUAGUUCAGCACGUUUUGUUUCGUGAUUCAGUAAUAUCAACAUAACCUUCAGAACAUUAAGGUCAUGGAAAUGAGUCCAUGUCUGCAAAGUCCAACCUGUGGUGGCUGUGGGAACACUGGUUUGUGUGGCAACGGUCUGGGGGUGACUGCUUGGGUUUGGAGUUGAAGUUUUCAAGGGUGAGGAUGCAUUGCUUGCGGGUGAGGAUGAAUUGGUUGAGGGUGAGGAUGCAUUGGUUGAGGGUGAGGAUGAAUUGGUUGAGGGUGAGGAUGAAUUGGUUGAGGGUGAGGAUGAAUUGGUUGAGGGUGAGGAUGCAUUGCUUGCGGGUGAGGAUGAAUUGGUUGAGGGUGAGGAUGCAUUGCUUGCGGGUGAGGAUGAAUUGCUUGCGGGUAAGGUUGCAGUGCUUGAGGUUGGGACUGCAGUGCUUGAGGUUGGGACUGCAGUGCUUGAGGGUGAGACUGAUCAAUGAAUGAGACGACAUUAUGGUGAUCAGAG
ensembl:lncRNA